GAUAAAGGGAAGGAAAAAGUGGUCGAAUAGCCAUCGAAAUCGUUCGACAACAUCCGAGUGCUGCCAAAUCAGCCCGUGGAUCAUAGAACGUCGGAGGCGUCACUCACACUAUCACUCUAAGCUUUUGUUAUAAUUAGUUUUAUUAACUUGAGUAUGGCAUGUAUAUGGAUUGAGUCUUUUUGUUAUGUGUCAUAUUGUUAGGUUAGCCAAUUUUGUUGGCAUGGGAUGAAAACUUUCUUUUUGUUUAAGGCCAUAGUUAAUGGUUAAAAUUAAUUAUUGAAAAUUGCAAAUGAUGAUGCUUCCCUGGAUGAACAAAUGUAUGAAUGAUCAAGUGCAUGUUCGGUUGUUAAAGUGUUAUAA